rnacentral:rRNA from 1 species
CUGGUCGUGCUGGAUGUCUAACCUGGGUCCGUGAUCCGGAUCAGGGACAGUGUCUGAUGGGUAGUUUAACUGGGGCGGUUGCCUCCUAAAGAGUAACGGAGGCGCCCAAAGGUUCCCUCAGCCUGGUUGGCAAUCAGGUGUUGAGUGUAAGUGCACAAGGGAGCUUGACUGUGAGACCGACGGGUCGAGCAGGGACGAAAGUCGGGACUAGUGAUCCGGCAGUGGCUUGUGGAAGCGCUGUCGCUCAACGGAUAAAAGGUACCCCGGGGAUAACAGGCUGAUCUUCCCCAAGAGUCCAUAUCGACGGGAUGGUUUGGCACCUCGAUGUCGGCUCGUCGCAUCCUGGGGCUGGAGUCGGUCCCAAGGGUUGGGCUGUUCGCCCAUUAAAGCGGUACGCGAGCUGGGUUUAGAACGUCGUGAGACAGUUCGGUCCCUAUCCGCUGUGCGCGUAGGAAUAUUGAGAAGGGCUGUCCCUAGUACGAGAGGACCGGGACGGACGAACCUCUGGUGUGCCAGUUGUUCUGCCAAGGGCAUGGCUGGUUGGCUACGUUCGGAAAGGAUAACCGCUGAAAGCAUCUAAGCGGGAAGCCUGCUUCGAGAUGAGUAUUCCCACCAACUUGAUUGGUUAAGGCUCCCAGUAGACGACUGGGUUGAUAGGCCAGAUGUGGAAGCCCGGUAACGGGUGGAGCUGACUGGUACUAAUAGGCCGAGGGCUUGUCCUCAGUUG